rnacentral:rRNA from 1 species
GCCUAGCCGUAAACUUUUAUUUACACCACUUCCGCCAGGGAACUACGAGCAAAGCUUAAAACCCAAAGGACUUGACGGUACCCCAUAUCCACCUAGAGGAGCCUGUCCUAUAAUCGAUAACCCCCGCUUAACCUCACCAUUUUUAGCCCAUCAGCCUGUAUACCUCCGUCGUCAGCUUACCCCGUGAGCGCCAACUAGUGAGCUUAAUGCCCCUACACCAACACGUCAGGUCAAGGUGCAGCAUAUAGAAUGGGAAGAGAUGGGCUACACUGUCUACUUUAGAUCAUACGAAAGACUAUUUAUGAAACCUAGUCAGAAGGCGGAUUUAGAAGUAAAGAAAGACCAAAAUGCUCUCUUUAACUCGGCACUGGGGUGUGUACACACCGCCCGUCACCCUCUUCAAAGUCUCAAUUAAGUUUAUAACAUCAUUAAACACUACAGAAGAGGCAAGUCGUAACACGGUAAGUAUACCGGAAGGUGUGCUUGGAAA